GCGUGUUUGGGAGCUGCCGGUGUGUCCAGGUGUGGGUUCGUUGGGUCAGCAGAGGAUUUAACGGGACUUUGUGUCGGUUUGAGUUGUUUUUAAAGGAGGAUGAAGACGCUGGUGGUGUUCCUGCUCCUCAUGAACGUUUCCCAGCAUGCCUUGGCUGUGGAGCUGUAUGAGGGGGACUCGUUCAUCCUGCUGUACUGUCAGUUCAACACUUUUCUACUAGACAACCCGUCAGUGGUGUGGAGUCGCUCCGACCUCAGUCCCUCCAACCGUCCACCAGCUUCAGGUUCAAGGAGACGAACUGAAACAUCAAAACCAGCGUUUACAGCGGCCGAACAUCCAUGAAGACUGAUGCUCUGGAUACUGGAGACCUCAGCCUGAACCUGACCAACCUCCAACUGUCUGACAGCGCCACCUACACCUGCUCCGUCAGAGAACAUGAACGUGAACUGAGUAGGAGUGAUGUACAGCUGCAGGUCAAAGAACGGUUUCCAUCCUGGGCCAAAGCUCUCCUGGUUCUCCUGGUUCUUCUUGUGGUUUCUGGAGGUCUUUUAUUUCAUUUCCGGCACUAUUUCAUGUCAGGUGAGUCUCUCCUACUACACUACCCAUAAUGCCGAUGGUCAGCAGGUGUCCUCUGGUGGCUCCUUGACUGCGGCUCACACAAACUUGUUCCAGAAGCUG